UACAGAGGUCUCAAGCGUUUGUUCGGAUUCAUUGGGCGUAAAGGGUGCGUAGGCGGCGCGGUAAGUCGGGUGUGAAAUCUUGGAGCUUAACUCCGAAACUGCAUUCGAUACUGCCGUGCUUGAGGACUGGAGAGGAGACUGGAAUUUACGGUGUAGCGGUGAAAUGCGUAGAUAUCGUAAGGAAGACCAGUGGCGAAGGCGGGUCUCUGGACAGUUCCUGACACUGAGACACGAAGGCCAGGGGAGCAAACGGG
rnacentral:rRNA from 1 species